AAUAUCAUAUAUAUAUAUAUCUGUUGGUUCAGCUAUAAAACCUAUAGUAUUUAAAGCAUGUGUUUUUGCGAUACACUAUAAUAUAAUAAUAAUAAUAUAAUAAUAAUAAUAAUAACUCGAAACUAAUUUUUAUAGUCAUAGCUAAAUGAGCAGCAUACUAUCAGUACUGAAGUCAAAUAAUGAUAAAAAAUAUUACUAAAAAGAAAGAGUUGAAACGAAACUCCAUUCGUUAUCUGUUGUUAAUUUUGGAACAUUCUAGGCUUGGACCAAAUGUUUUGCAACAUUAGUUAUUUUUUGUGGAUAAAAAACCUGUUGUGUAUCAUUGUAUCUUCCUCCCCAUAGUGAGAGAGAUAGAGGAAGGAAGGCUCGUUUCUUUACAAGUGAUAUUUGUAAAUAAAGAACAAAUGUACUUUAUACAUCAAAGAGUGUUUAGCCAUUUAAAAGUGAAGCUUGAACUAA